rnacentral:lncRNA from 1 species
UGGACUUUAUCGUUUAAGCAUAUAACAUUUAUAUGAGACGGCUCAAACAAUAAUCUUUGCACUUAAUAUUAAACUUAGAUUAGUUUAACAUGUGAAAUGUCCGUAAAGUAUCAUCAUAUGAUUGGCUUUAGGACACAUUUCCAACAAUCUCCCACUUGCACUAGAGCCAAUCAGCUUGAUCAUCAGUGAUGAUACCUCUUAUGAAGUCAUUUCAUAAAUGGCUGAAUAGUAGGCCUAGACAAUGGAUAUCUAUAUGUUAUCCAUAGAAGCAACCUUGAAAAUAACGACGUCACCAUUAUACAUGAUUCUCAAUCAUGUGGUUCAAUCUUUCAUUUGAGUUCGGACCUUGAUGAGACCUUGAUUCCCUGGCUUGAGCUAUCGCCCCAUUAGUGUCAUAGUGUCAGUACACUAGAUACACUUUCUGGUUGGAACCGAAUAGAGAGUUCAUAAAUGAACUUUCCCAUCCAAACAACAUUGUUGUAAGCUUCUAUAUGGCAAUAUAUUUUGCAUUCAUAAUGGAACACACUAAAGUCAUUACUUUAAUGUUUCCAUCCAAAUAUCUCUUUAGUCAUAAUAAAGAGAUAUCCGUUUAUCUCUUCAUUCAUAAUGAAGAAACAUCCAAUGAUGGAUUAGAUUUAUAAUCUAAUACAUUUACGCUUCCUUUACGUUACUCUAAUUCUUCCUCAUUCUUUAAGGAAUCUAUCCUUUAGUAUUUCUUAAAUACUUAAGGACUCACUUGACAGUUGCCAUGGUUCUGAUCUUGGGCUUGCACUGAUAUCGUCUUGUACCGGAUCCUGGGCUUGCACUGAUAUCGUCUUGUACCGUUCUAGGUACAACUCAUAUCAAUGU